AGCUCCAAUAGCGUAUAUUAAAGUUGUUGCAGUUAAAAAGCUCGUAGUUGGAUCUCGGGUACUAGCAUGUGGUACGCAUAACUGCUGUUACUACAUGUCUGGUCCUAAUCAAUCGGUUGGCCGUUGAUGUCCUUCAUUGGGUGUUUUCGGUAGCCGGUACGUUUACUUUGAGAAAAUUAGAGUGCUUAAAGCAGGCUAUAGGCCUGAAUAAUGUUGCAUGGAAUAAUAGAAUAGGACCUCGGUUCUAUGUUGUGGGUUUUGUAGAGAAUGGAGGUAAUGAUUAAUAGGGACAGACGGGGCAUUCGUAUUGCGGUGUUAGAGGUGAAAUUCUUGGAUCGCCGCAAGACGAACAACUGCGAAAGCAUUUGCCAAGAAUGUUUUCA
rnacentral:rRNA from 1 species